rnacentral:rRNA from 1 species
UGGGGAAUCUUGCACAAUGCGCGAAAGCGUGAUGCAGCAACGCCGCGUGCGGGAAGACGGCCUUCGGGUUGUAAACCGCUUUCAGUUGGGACGAAGCCUUUGCGGUUAAUAGCCGUGGAAGGUGACGGUACCUUCAGAAGAAGCCCCGGCUAACUACGUGCCAGCAGCCGCGGUAAUACGUAGGGGGCAAGCGUUGUCCGGAAUCAUUGGGCGUAAAGCGCGUGUAGGCGGCUGAGUAAGUCUGCUCUGAAAGCCCGGGGCUCAACCCCGGGAGGCGGGUGGAUACUGCUCAGCUCGAGUCCGGAAGAGGAGUGUGGAAUUCCUGGUGUAGCGGUGAAAUGCGCAGAUAUCAGGAGGAACACCAAUGGCGAAGGCAGCACUCUGGGACGGUACUGACGCUGAGACGCGAAAGCGUGGGGAGCAAACA